AUCACAUCAAGUUGUCAUACAGCCUGGAUGAGUGGGCUGGACAUGCCGAGAGAUGAGUUUCAUAAUGUUCUGCGGUGUAACAUCUUGUGUCUAUAAAAUGAGCUGCUCGUUAUGCGUAUAUAAUCCUUUCUACUGCAGUUUUUUUUAAAGAUACAACGUUAGCCAUGGAGAACUGCAAAUAUGUUGCUACUGCUCUCAAUAACAUUUCUGCCCUGAAUUUAUCAGGCGCUAUCAACAAAGGUCAGUGGGAUGGACUACUUUCUGGAGGACGAUCGUGCAGAUCGUGCCAUGCGGAGUCUCUCUGACUCUGAAAAAUGUAUCAGACGAUGAGGAUUUAGGUUAAAACAUUUUCAUUGAAGAAGACAUUUGUAGAUUCUUCUGAUGACAGAGAUGGGGAAGAAACGGCGAUCCACGUGUAUGAACUGUGUGUAACGUAGAACACGCAUGGCUCUCCUCCACCAGUCAUACAAAGAGAAUGUUCUAAUGCCUACCAUCAAAAAGAGAGCUGGCCAAAGCAAGCAAAGAUUACUUGCAGCAAGUGCUGAACUUCAUCAACAACUACGUCGAGGAUCAUGCAAUAGUAUUACCAAGACGCCACCCAAGACAAACACUUUGGUGGAAAGGUGCUACCCUCCCUUGUGACAAAAGCAGCAGUGUGGCGUCUCUACAAGGAAUCAAUGACAAGACUUGCAAACAGUCUGAACCUUCAGAAAGACCAGAGUGAACACUUUGUCUGAAAUUGCUGAUGUUGUGAAGGACAGCACUGUGACAGGGGCCAACAUCUGGUUGGACUGGAUGAUGAUACAGUGCUGGUGGAAAGUUAUGGCUUGCAACAACACCUGACACUGUACUUCAGGCCGCUGCCACAGAUCAAGCAGUACCAGUACUUCAGCUUUAAUGCUCUGAAACCUGGUGUUGUUGUCGCCAAGGAGCGUUCGGACUGUCAGGACCAGGUUUCAGCUGCUGUGCAACGCUGACAUCCUUCCUCUCAUAGAUGGUUUGCCUGUAAAAGCACCACCUGGACUGGACACAGCUAGAGAAUAACUGGUUCGGACAGACUAGUUAUCAGCACUAUCUGCAGUGCCUCAAUUGACUCUUUCAACACACGUACUGCUACUAUUUGUUUUGUUAUCCUGCUGCUCAGCCACUUUACCCCUGAUUGUAUGCAUAUAACUUACCUCGUCUAACACUAUCGUUAUUGAUAUUGUUCUUGUACAUACUGUAUAUUAUUUUAUUUAUAUUGACACUAUCUAUUUCUGAUAUUGUUACUAUGCAAGUAACCAUUUGUCUGUACCGUUUACACCUUCUGUAGAGACCAUCCACUUAGCAAGAGUUAGCAAAAUAUUGAUAUAUAAAAUUAAUAUUGAUAUGUGUGGUCGUAAGAUUAUUUUGUGACAUACCACAACAAUAUCAUGUGACCGUAUCAAGUGUCUACCACAUAAAUAUAUGGUGCAUGCAUCUGUUUAUGUACUGUACAUGUGUACCUCACUCAGGUUUCAACUUGGGUUGCAUGGCCUUAACUUGCAUGUGUAACAGUAUAUCAAGUAUGUUAAUGUACUGGUAUGAAGGCAUUUGGGCAGUGGUGUAAAGUACUUCAGUAAAAAUACAUUAAAGUACUAUUUAUGGGGGGGUAUCUGUACAUUACUUUACUAUUUAUAUUUUUGGCAACUUUUACUUCACUACAUUUCUAAAGAAAAUAACUUUUUACUCCAUACAUUUUCCCUGACGCCCAAAAGUACUCGUUACAUUUUGACAGGAAAAUUGUCCACACAUAUCAAGAGAGAGAUCCCUACUGCAUGUAAUCUGGCAGACUUAAACACAA